rnacentral:rRNA from 1 species
UACGAAGGGGGCUAGCGUUGCUCGGAUUCAUUGGGCGUAAAGGGUGCGUAGGCGGCGCGGUAAGUCGGGUGUGAAAUCUCGGAGCUUAACUCCGAAACUGCAUUCGAUACUGCCGUGCUUGAGGACUGGAGAGGAGACUGGAAUUUACGGUGUAGCGGUGAAAUGCGCAGAUAUCGGGAGGAACACCGGUGGCGAAGGCGGUUCUCUGGGCCUUACCUGACGCUGAGGAGCGAAAGCGUGGGGAGCGAACAGG